rnacentral:rRNA from 1 species
AUAUUGGGCAAUGGGCGCAAGCCUGACCCAGCAACGCCGCGUGAAGGAAGAAGGCCCUUGGGUUGUAAACUUCUUUUAUUCGGGACGAAACAAAUGACGGUACCGAAUGAAUAAGCCACGGCUAACUACGUGCCAGCAGCCGCGGUAAUACGUAGGUGGCAAGCGUUAUCAGGAUUUACUGGGUGGAAAGGGCGUGUAGGCGGGAGAGCAAGUCAGACGUGAAAUUCCAGGGCUCAACCCUGGAACUGCGUUUGAAACUGUUCUUCUUGAGUGAUGGAGAGGCAGGCGGAAUUCCGUGUGUAGCGGUGAAAUGCGUAGAUAUACGGAGGAACACCAGUGGCGAAGGCGGCCUGCUGGACGUUAACUGACGCUGAGGCGCGAAAGCGUGGGGAGCAAACAGG